rnacentral:rRNA from 1 species
AGCCCCUUCGGGGGUGGAUUAGUGGCGAACGGGUGAGUAACACGUGGGCAAUCUGCCCUGCACUCUGGGACAAGCCCUGGAAACGGGGUCUAAUACCGGAUACGACACAGGGAGGCAUCUCCUCUGUGUGGAAAGCUCCGGCGGUGCAGGAUGAGCCCGCGGCCUAUCAGCUUGUUGGUGAGGUAACGGCUCACCAAGGCGACGACGGGUAGCCGGCCUGAGAGGGCGACCGGCCACACUGGGACUGAGACACGGCCCAGACUCCUACGGGAGGCAGCAGUGGGGAAUAUUGCACAAUGGGCGCAAGCCUGAUGCAGCGACGCCGCGUGAGGGAUGACGGCCUUCGGGUUGUAAACCUCUUUCAGCAGGGAAGAAGCGCAAGUGACGGUACCUGCAGAAGAAGCGCCGGCUAACUACGUGCCAGCAGCCGCGGUAAUACGUAGGGCGCAAGCGUUGUCCGGAAUUAUUGGGCGUAAAGAGCUCGUAGGCGGCUUGUCGCGUCGGUUGUGAAAGCCCGGGGCUUAACUCCGGGUCUGCAGUCGAUACGGGCAGGCUAGAGUUCGGUAGGGGAGAUCGGAAUUCCUGGUGUAGCGGUGAAAUGCGCAGAUAUCAGGAGGAACACCGGUGGCGAAGGCGGAUCUCUGGGCCGAUACUGACGCUGAGGAGCGAAAGCGUGGGGAGCGAACAGGAUUAGAUACCC